GUUGCGUUCAGGUCGUGUUCCGUUCAGGUCGUGCUGCGUUCAGGUCGUGUUGCGUUCAGGUCGCGUUGCGUUCAGGUCGUGUUGCGUUCAGGUCGUGUUGCGUUCAGGUCGCGUUGCGUUCAGGUCGUGUUGCGUUCAGGUCGUGUUGCGUUCAGGUCGUGUUGCGUUCAGGUCGUGCUGCGUUCAGGUCGUGUUGCGUUCAGGUCGUGCUGCGUUCAGGUCGUGUUGCGUUCAGGUCGUGUUCCGUUCAGGUCGUGCUGCGUUCAGGUCGA